rnacentral:rRNA from 1 species
UGGGGAAUUUUGCACAAUGGGGGAAACCCUGAUGCAGCGACGCCGCGUGAUUUAGAAGGCCUUCGGGUUGUAAAAAUCUUUUCUAUGGGAAGAAAAUGACAGUACCAUAGGAAUAAGGACCGGCUAAUUACGUGCCAGCAGCCGCGGUAAUACGUAAGGUCCGAGCGUUGUCCGGAAUCAUUGGGCGUAAAGGGUACGUAGGCGGGUCAGCAAGUUAGAAGUGAAAUCCUAUAGCUCAACUAUAGUAAGCUUUUAAAACUGCUCAUCUUGAGGUAUGGAAGGGAAAGUGGAAUUCCUAGUGUAGCGGUGAAAUGCGCAGAUAUUAGGAGGAAUACCGGUGGCGAAGGCGACUUUCUGGCCAUAACCUGACGCUGAGGUACGAAAGCGUGGGUAGCAAACAGG